CGCUACUUGAGGAACACAAUAUGGAGCACUUCUAGAGUUACGGAUAAGUGAGUUGGACCAAAAGAUUCAGUCAUUUUUCAUCAUCCCUGCGGGAAUGAGAUCUUUUGUCAAGGACACAGUGGUGUUUCUCAACAUCCCAAAAGGAGGAUGUUAACACACUGAGACUGAACCAUGGCAUUAUGUGUUUUCCAGCAUGUGUUCGGGGCCUAAAGGCCUUCGCUUCUCUGAACACCAGCCCCACCUGUCAAGACCAGCUCCACACUUUCAUCUGAUGCCAUUGUGCUCUGCCUUCACAAACGGG
ensembl:lncRNA